CCAAUCUCUGGACAGUUGACCAUCUGUGUUGGACAAAUAAAUCUGAUCUAUGGAGGUCCACUUCUCUGCUUCCAGGACUUCAGAGAUCUGCUGCUAAAGUCUUGGUCCAGAUACCACAGCACACCUUCAGAGGUCUGGUGGAGUCUAGGCCUCUGGUGAGAGCUAAUGGAAUGGGAAAAGG